UACAGAUGUCUCAAGCGUUGUUCGGAUUCAUUGGGCGGAAAGGGUGCGUAGGUGGCGCCGUAAGUCGGGUGUGAAAUUUCGGAGCUUAACUCCGAAACUGCAUUCGAUACUGCGGUGCUUGAGGACUGGAGAGGAGACUGGAAUUCAUGGUGUAGCAGUGAAAUGCGUAGAGAUCAUGAGGAAGACCAGUGGCGAAGGCGGGUCUCUGGACAGUUCCUGACACUGAGGCACGAAGGCCAGGGGAGCAAACGGG
rnacentral:rRNA from 1 species